GGUAGGGUAGCCGAAGCAGGCGGUGGGUUGUAGCCCCGAAGAUGGAGGUUUGAGUCCUCUUCCUACCA
rnacentral:tRNA from 1 species